UGCCAGUAAGUCUCCACAAGCUCUCCAAUGAUAGACCCGAUACAAGCACAAUUAACACAGAUCCAAACCCAGAAGCAGCUUCAAAGGAAGAAAUCAAUUGCCACAGAACAACAAACCAGAAGAGAACCAGUCCAGGAACACAAAUAAAGAAUAGCUUUGAGUCAAGCAGGUCAUGAUAAAAAGAAUUCUAAUGUAUCAGCAGCCCAAAUUGGAUUUGCCGAGAAGAUGAUUUUGAGCAUUUUGCAGUUGUAAGAACCUAUCAUGGGGUAGAGCUUUUCCUUUUCUUCUUCCUCUUCCUUUU
rnacentral:misc_RNA from 1 species